AGGAGCCGGAUGAGGUGAAAAUCUCACGUCCGGUUCUGAAGACGAGUAUGAGAGGUGACUCUCAUGCUUAGUUUAAU
rnacentral:ncRNA from 1 species